rfam:Dipodomys ordii contig_16469, whole genome shotgun sequence.
GGGAAGGUGGCUCAGUGGUAGAGUGCUUGCCUUGCAUGCAUGAGGCCCUGGGUUCG